rnacentral:lncRNA from 1 species
CGCCGGGAGCCCGACUUCCUGGCGCUUUGCCCUUUGGGGAGCGGAGCCAAGGAACAGCGCCAACCUCUCUCCACAAGCCAGGGACCCUACGACCCACCGCCGCAGGCCAGAACCAGCAGCUGAUUUAGAUACCAUCAAGACACCUAAAACCUUAUCAUGAGCCAGAUGCUGUGGAAGAGAUUCUGGGAGAAUCCUGAGGACCCCCCAGUUGCAGCCAUGUCAAGACUGAUGCUGAGGAGGACCCCAACUGUCACGAGCAACACCCGUCGAACACAGCCACCUACUUGGGGAAAGAUCAAGAAGCUGUCACAGAUGGUGGAAGAAAACCUGAGGAAAGCGGGACAACCAGUCACAAUGAGUAAUUUAAUGAUAGCUAUGAGAGCGGUGAUCACCAUUG